rnacentral:pre_miRNA from 1 species
CCUUGGAGUAAAGUAGCAGCACAUAAUGGUUUGUGGAUUUUGAAAAGGUGCAGGCCAUGUUGUGCUGCCUCAAAAUACAAGGA